rnacentral:tRNA from 1 species
GACAAAAUGCCUGAUGAAAAGGAUUACUUCGAUAAGGUAAAUAAUGUCUCAACUUUUGUUU